GACGGGGGGGGCAAGUGUUCUUCGGAAUGACUGGGCGUCAAGGGCACGUAGGCGGUGAAUCGGGUUGAAAGUGAAAGUCGCCAAAAAGUGGCGGAAUGCUCUCGAAACCAAUUCACUUGAGUGGGACAGAGGAGAGUGGAAUUUCGUGUGUAGGGGUGAAAUCCGUAGAUCUACGAAGGAAGGCCAAAAGCGAAGGCAGCUCUCUGGGUCCCUACCGACGCUGGGGUGCGAAAGCGUGGGGAGCGAACAGG
rnacentral:rRNA from 1 species